UGUAAAUCACAAUAAUAUGCACAUGAUUCUAGUAUAUAAAAUAUUAUAGGUACUAGAAAUUAUAAUGUAAAAUACUAAAAUAUUCAUAACUUAUUAACCGAAUUAAAAGGAAUUAAAGCGCUUAUCUGCUAUCUUAAUAAUAAUAUAUGGCAGUCGCGUUAUCAUAUGAAGCAUGUUCGUUACUACCAUAGACCCAGUAUUACGUAUCCGUGUUUACACCGUAUCGUGUUGUUUUGUAGGUAUUGUACCUAACAUUUUUUAAGAGUUUUUAUGAUCUCGCGAAAUCUUGCGUUUUUUUUUAGAUUAUACCAAAAUGCAAUAUCAAAGAUACAAAAAUUAUUAGUUAUUACCAUGAACUAAGAAGAUAUCCUCUUAGUUCAUAGUUAUUACUUAUUACCAAUUCUGGUGAUAACAUUUUAAAUUUUAAUAAAUUCGAAAUAAUGAUUAAUGAUCACAUCCAUCAUCCAUAUUCAUUAGGUAUUUAGUUUUCGCUAUUCACUUCACGUCAAGUUUUAGUCAUGGACCGUAGUUAUUACAUUAGUAACAUUUAAGAGAAAAUUGUGCAACUAUAAUGUUCAUGACUAUAAUGAAGAAUACACAAAAGGGAAAUUUGCUUUACUUCAUUAGUAAUGAAUCUUGUCGAAGAAAAUUUAUAUAAAAUAGAGAAAAAAUGGUGUGUCAGGUCUUUGCAAUGAGAACGUAUUGAACAUAGUUAUUUUAACACUAUGAUUAAUGGACAUAAGCUAUCAAAUUUAGUCCAAUUUUUUAACUUAACUAGAAUACCACCAACUACUUUUGAAGAACUGGUUAUUUUAAUGGACCCAUUUCUUUAGAGAAUACAUUCAAGACCUGAUAUUCUAUCAAUUAGAGAAAUUUUAGCACCUAUAUUAAGGUUAGUUUUUAUAUAAUAUUUAUUAAAAAAUAUGAUAUUUUGUAGGAGCAUUAGAUGGAAAAUAUAUUGUACAUCAAGUAUGUAUAUUUUUAUUUCAAAAAAAUUAGAGUAUAAAAAGGCCAAUAGAUCUUAUGAUUCACUUAGAAUGUAAUGUUUAAUUAAAAUUAAAUGUAUUAUGUUCAGUAAAUGAUAUCAUUAUUGUUAAAUUUUUCCUGGCAUUUCCAAAUAUUGGUUCUAUCAACUACAAUUGUAAAGGCUCACAUGGUACCAUUCUUUUGGUACUAUCUGAUGCCAAUUAUAAUUUUACAUGUGUUGAUAUUGGAGUGUUGGGCAUGUGUAGUGAUGGGGGAGUUUUCAGGGUGUCUGAAAUGGAUAGAAGGGUACUACAGAAUAAUUUUAAUUUCCCUAACACUUCACCUAUAAGUGGAUAUUUUAAAGACUACCCUUAUUUCAUUGUGGUAGAUGAAGCUUUUCCACUCUUAACAAAUUGAAUGAGACCAUAUCCCGGAUGAAGAAAUAAAAACUUAUCUUUGAAAUCUACCAUUUUCAACUAUAGGUAAUUUAUUGUGUAAAAAUUAAAUAAUAAUAGAUUGAGACGAGCAAGAAGAUGCUCGUGACGUAUAUACCGAGGAGUGAUUAUUGCUUCUGAGCUGUGAUGAGUAUCAUCAAAACAACACUCAACAGUGCCUCAUAAUUUAAUUUUAAAAAAACAAACUGAGUCAGUUAAUACAAUAGUUUUGUACGCAUAUUUACACCCCUACAUGUCUUGGCAGAAUUGAAAACAUUACAAAUCAAAAUUCAGUCGGUUUAGUUCCAGUGGGUCAAAUGGGAACAAAUUUUUACGACUGAAAUUCAAGAAGGAUAAGGUCAAAUCUAACCGAUUACUUUGCCACAGAAGGUAGUCUUCUGUUUCAGUACGACCAUGUAUAAUUCAAUUUUGUGAAACUAAUAACUAUUUAUAACUAUCAAUUACAAAUAAAAAUAUUUUAUUAGAUUAAU